rnacentral:RNase_P_RNA from 1 species
CCAGGGGGCUGGGCAGCCGCGUGCCGCAAGGUACGAGGAAAGUCCGGGCUCCACGAAACAAGGGUGGCGGGUAACGCCCGCCGUGGGCAACCAUAGGGAAAGUGCCACAGAGAGCAUACCGCCGAUGGCCCGUUUACGGGAUCAGGCAAGGGUGAAAGGGUGCGGUAAGAGCGCACCGGGGCCUCGGCAACGCGGCCCGCAUGGUAAACCCCACCCGGAGCAAGGCCGAAUAGGGGUGGCGCGCUCUCGCAAGAGGGCAGGGGUGUUUCGCCCCUCGUGCAAACGGCGACCACCCGGGUUGGCUGCUCGAGCCAUGGAGCAAUCCAUGGCCCAGACGAAUGGCUGCCGCCGUGCGGCUGGUGUCCCUCUGCUUGCAUUGGGCAUACCGCGUGCGGAACAGAACCCGGCUUACAGGCCCCCUGGCAUU